rnacentral:rRNA from 1 species
UAGGGAAUCUUCCGCAAUGGGCGAAAGCCUGACGGAGCAACGCCGCGUGAGUGAUGAAGGUCUUCGGAUCGUAAAACUCUGUUAUUAGGGAAGAACAAAUGUGUAAGUAACUAUGCACGUCUUGACGGUACCUAAUCAGAAAGCCACGGCUAACUACGUGCCAGCCGCCGCGGUAAUUCGUAGGUGGCAAGCGUUAUCCGGAAUUAUUGGGCGUAAAGCGCGCGUAGGCGGUUUUUUAAGUCUGAUGUGAAAGCCCACGGCUCAACCGUGGAGGGUCAUUGGAAACUGGAAAACUUGAGUGCAGAAGAGGAAAGGGGAAUUCCAUGUGUAGCGGUGAAAUGCGCAGAGAUAUGGAGGAACACCAGUGGCGAAGGCGACUUUCUGGUCUGUAACUGACGCUGAUGUGCGAAAGCGUGGGGAUCAAACAGG